rnacentral:lncRNA from 1 species
CUGCCAUUUAGGCUACUGCACCUCCCAGCCCCAACGCCGUCGCUGCCGCUGCUGCUGCAUCGCUAUUUCCUGCCACCGCCGCGCCUGCGAUUUAGGCUACUGCACCUCCCAGCCCCACCUUCGUCGCGGCCGCUGCUACUCCUUUGCUAAAUCCUGCCGCCGCCGCGCCUGCUGCUGUUGCUAUUUCCCGCCACCGCCACGCCUGCCGUGUAGGCUACUGCACCUCCCAACCCCACUGCCGUCGCUGCCGUUGCUGCUGUGUUGCUAAUUCCCGCCGCCGCCGUGCCUGCCGUUUAGGCUACUGCAUCUCCCAGCCCCAACGCCGUCGCUGCCGCUGCUGCUGUGUUGCUAUUUCCCGCCGCCGCCGCGCCUGCCAUUUUAGCUACUGCACCUCCCAGCCCCAACACCGUCGCUGCCGCUGCUGCUGCAUCGCUAUUUCCUGCCACCGCCGCGCCUGCGAUUUAGGCUACAGCACCUCCCAGCCCCACCUUCAUCGUGGCCGCUGCUACUCCUUUGCUAAAUCCUGCCGCCGCCGCGCCUGCUGCUGUUGCUAUUUCCCGCCACCGUCACUCCUGCCGUGUAGGCUACUGCACCUCCCAACCCCACGUCAUCGCUGCCACUGCUGCUGCGUUGCUUAUUCCCACCGCCGCCGCGCCUGCCGUUUAGGCUACUGCACCUCCAACCCCACCGCCGUCGCUGCCACUGCUGCUGCGUUGCUAAUUCCCGCCGCCGCCACGCCUGCCGUUUAGGCUACUGCACCUCCCAACCCCACUGCCGUCGCUGCCACUGCUGCUGCGUUGCUAUUUCCCGCCGCUGCCGCGCCUGCUGGACUUGCAUUUCUGGACUGGCGAGAAUUUUGAAAAUUUUGUUUCACGAAAUGGCAUCCCUGGAUCACACUUGCGAUUUAUUGUAUGUGCUGCUACUACUACUACUACUACUACUACUUUUAUGUAUAUAGUAGUACUGGUAAUACCCUUUAGUAUAAUAGUAGUAGGUAUAUAGUCAGAGAAAGAAAAAUGACUUCCAUGCCAGAUAGUGUUUGUAUGUUCUCUGUGGCUACAUCACUUGGAAGAGAGUGAAAAGAGAAAAGAUUGGAUGGCCAAUUGGAUGUGGCCCAUUUUUAUAAAAUAAAGGCCCUCCCUAAUGCACCUCCCAGCCCCAACGCCGUCGCUGCCGCUGCUACUCGGUUGCUAAUUCCCGCCGCCGCCGUGCCUGCUAUUUUAGCUACUGCACCUCCCAGCCCCAAGACCAUCGCUGCCACUGCUGCUGUGUUGCAAUUUCCUGCCGCCGCCACACCUGCCAUUUAGGCUACUGCACCUCCCAGCCCCAACGCUGUCGCUGCCGCUGCUACUCCGUUGCUAAUUCCCCCCGCCACCACGCCUGCUAUUGAGAGUAAUGGCCCUCCCAGCCCCACCUUCGUCGCUGCCGCUGCUGCUGCGUCGCUAUUUCCCACCGCCGCCGUGCCUGCCUUUUAGGCUACUGCACCUCCCAACCCCAC